GGAAUGAGACAUUCAUGUAACGUAGGCACAUAUUAAAUAGUGACGACGAAAUGUCACCGAACGAAUGUGAAUGGACGAUAAAAAGA
rfam:Coprococcus sp. CAG:782 genomic scaffold, scf141